CAUAUUUCCUUCAUGGAGAUGGACCUGACGGUUGGGGUCAUCACCCUACCUGCAAACCUUUCAUUACGCCGAUCGCGUAGAACAUUUCUCUCACCAUGCGGUACCUGUGUACAUUUUUUUUGCUUGCCAAUUUUCUGUUGACGCUUCUUUGCCACCAUACCACCCUUGCAAGCUUGCUCUCUCCUCCCAGGCGCUGCUCUGGACUCAUGACUCUGCUCGUCCACUCCAUUAUCCGCUAUUGUUAUCGAAUCACUGGUUUGCUGGUCGGAAUUUUGUAGGUGCACAUUGAUUUCGAUGAGGUCGCCAUCUACAACACCAUUACCGAAGGUUCUGCUUAGGCAGAUGAAGGCCGUCGAAGAUCACAAGCGCAGCUUGCUAUUGUACAAGUUUGGAAUUUAGAAAGGAUGUCCAUCAGGGUUGUUUGGAGGAACAUAAUGAAACUUCACAAGUUCUGGGGGGACUGAUUCUUUCAGAGAAUUGUUUCAUUACUAAUGCGCUGUCGCGGGCAUGUAUUAAUCCCAAAUUCCAAAUCACUUUGGAAUCCAAUCAAAAUCCAGUGAAAAUCACACUGGAAUCCUUCUCCGUAAUUGAUUCGCAAACUAUUCUCAAGGACUGCUCUGAACCUCAAAUAUCGUGGGCACAUGAAGUUGUGGUGUAAUUUUUACAGAAACAAGUGAUUCAGGCAGCAAGGUCGGACAAGCUCGUUGGCCACAUUGGGUAGCUGCCGCCCUCUGCUGAGAUUGUUCACACCAUGGAUGAGAUCUCCAACACUGUUUGCUCGGUCAUUGAUUCGGCGGAGCUGUG